AACAAAUAGAUGAAUAACUCGAAUAACUCAAUAUCACGCCAACCGAUUUCGAUGACUAUUGUUUUUAGUGUGUAUAUUAAUUAUAAUUUGUUUUGGAAUAUCUUUUUUUUUCUAUUUGAAGUCGGUUUUUGUUAGAGCAUGUCUUUAUUUACAUUGUCUUUAUUUAUUUACUUAAAUGAAAGACGAAAUUAACGAUUUGUACUAAAUAAUAUAUUAUUUAUUAUCACUUUUAUUUAUAAACGUUUUUUUAAAUCACUAUAACGUAAUACUUCAAUAGUAAAUCAUAUAUAUGUAACAUGGACCUUUUUUUUAAUGAUUAAGACAUGGCCCAGUAUAUGAAAGAACACCGUCGCUCGUUUAUAUACUACGUAUAUAUAUGUAUAAUAAAUGUAAAUAAAAUUGCUGUUCGUUAGACAUAGACAUAUACAUAACUUGAAAACGUUUGGAUUUAUUUCAGUAUUUUUGGUCUUAAAUUUGCAAUAGUACAAAUGAGAUUAUUAUAGUAAAAUAUGUGGCUGUAUAGUUAGGUUCCCAGUUGUCUAUGGUAAUAAAAAUUAUUAGCAUUCUUUAGCAUUCUGUUGCACCGAAUUGUCCAACCCAACCAAUUGAGUCCACACGGGUUACCACCAGUAAUUAAUUACCAGUAAGUUAUUUAGAUAAAAAUACAUUAUAUACCAUGAACACACAAUAUAUCGCACAUAUGAUGUUAUAAAGUCAGGCAAUUUUUGUCAACGCUGAACUGAGUAUGAGAAAAUACAUUUUUUAAUAAUUACUAGUGAGAGAGAGAGAGAUGUUUGCUUUUACUGAUUAAUUUUAAAGUUGUAGUUUAAAUAUUAUUUCAUUUCUAUAGUUUAGCAGAACUAUAUAACAAUUAUAUAAUAAGAUGUUGAAUUUUCCAACGUUACUCAUGCCAAAUUACAUAAUUUGCACAAGUGACUAUAUCGCACCGAAUGUGCGGUAUGGGAAUAACCGAAAUUUUUGUUUAUCUUUUAUAAUUAUAAAAAAAAUACAUACAGGCAUAGUUGACAUGUUUCAUUUCAUUACAAAAUUACUCUUCUUUAUGUACUGACUUCUAGUCUCGUAUAACGCGAUUUCACACAACACGGAAUUUUAUAGGAACUUAUCUACCGUGUUAUAGAAAGGUUACCUGUACUUCUAAAUGUUUAUUAUACAUACAUACAUUAAGAAUAUUAAUUACAACAUUACAAAUAUAAAGACUACAGCAUAAACAAAAUUACAUGUUAUAAUUUUUCAAACAUCAGUUAAUUGCAUGGCUUUAAAUGAUACACUAGAUACGGUCACAGUUCAAGAGCUUUAGGUUAGCAAUUGAGGCCGCUCAGAACCAAAAGUUAUAUCUUUUGAAUCUCAAUUAUCUGAUCGAUCGAAAGCGCUCUUUCGAGUUCUUUAUUCCAGCUUUUGCAAUGGAGAUAUUGACUUCACGGGGUUUAACAGAACGAUAGCCUCGGGAUUCAAUCUCAAUUAAUUAGGUCAAUCACCUAAAUCGAUUACAAAACAAAUCAUCCAAUUAAUAAAAAUAAAAAAAAAAACAAUUUAUGAAAACUACAUUACAAAAGUUUCAUAUUUUAAAGAUUUAUUUAAUUCUAAUUACAUACGUACACUAAUUAUAUUAUAUUUUUACCAUAGACUAAAAAAACAUAUAAACUUUGCUUGGGUGGCGCCAUCUAGAUUAGCUAUGCGACACAUCACAAAUGGCUUUCCGUCUUACUCAUACACGAUGGAAUUGCACAAGCGGACCGCUUCAUCAUUCCGGAUCGUAUUGA